AUUUAUAUAGUUUAAAUAAAACAUUACAUUUUCAUUGUAAAAAUAAAAUAUAAAUUAAUUUUUAUAAAUA